AAAAAAAAAAAAAAAAGGAAAAGGAGGAGAAUUGCAGCACGCAGGGGCGGUGAGAGAGAGAGAGGUUACUGUGCAUAAAUUAGGGCACUCGCCGGAAUUUUGAUCGGCCGUUUGGACGGCCAAACGAUCUCUGUUUCCGCCCAAAUUCGGAGGAAGUACUCUAUUCGACUAGACGAACAACCCUGCGGUGGCUGAUUUUGUUUUUAACGGCUAAAUUUUCAGAUCUGAGAUGCAGAUAUCUCUCCUGAGGAUCCACAGGUGGGGCAGGGAGAACUUCAGGAUACUCUUGGAGCGGCCUAGUGGAGCUUGACAUUUUUUUAUUAUUGUGUUUCUUUUUGGAUUUUGGGAUUUGUUUUAGUAAUUAUGACUCAUGGGCUUGUUAUGAAGCUUUAUUUUGAUAAAGUUGUUAAUUGUGAACUUUAUUUUGGACUAUAAUGAAUAUUUAUUUAAUCUUGUUGUUUUGAGUA